UCCGGUUGAUCCUGCCGGACCCGACUGCUAUCAGAGUGGGACUAAGCCAUGCGAGUCAACGCAGCAAUGCGUGGCAUACGGCUCAGUAACACGUAGUCAACAUGCCCAGGGGACGUGGAUAACCUCGGGAAACUGAGGAUAAACCGCGAUAGGCCAAGGUUUCUGGAAUGGAUCAUGGCUGAAACCUAUAUGGCCCCUGGAUUGGACUGCGGCCGAUCAGGCUGUUGGUGAGGUAAUGGCCCACCAAACCUGUAACCGGUACGGGCUCUGAGAGGAGGAGCCCGGAGAUGGGCACUGAGACAAGGGCCCAGGCCCUAUGGGGCGCAGCAGGCGCGAAACCUCUGCAAUAGGCGAAGGCUUGACAGGGUUACUCUGAGUGAUGUCCGCUAAGGGCAUCUUUUGGCACUUCUAAAAAUAGUGUAGAAUAAGGGGUGGGCAAGUCUGGUGUCAGCCGCCGCGGUAAUACCAGCACCCCGAGUGGUCGGGACGAUUAUUGGGCCUAAAGCAUCCGUAGCCGGUUCUGCAAGUCUUCCGUUAAAUCCACCUGCUCAACAGAUGGGCUGCGGAGGAUACUACAGGGCUAGGAGGCGGGAGAGGCAAGCGGUACUCAGUGGGUAGGGGUAAAAUCCUCUGAUCCACUGAAGACCACCAGUGGCGAAGGCGGCUUGCCAGAACGCGCUCGACGGUGAGGGAUGAAAGCUGGGGGAGCAAACCGGAUUAGAUACCCGGGUAGUCCCAGCUGUAAACGAUGCAGACUCGGUGAUGGGUUGGCUUCGAGCCAACCCAGUGCCGCAGGGAAGCCGUUAAGUCUGCCGCCUGGGGAGUACGGUCGCAAGACUGAAACUUAAAGGAAUUGGCGGGGGAGCACCACAAGGGGUGAAGCCUGCGGUUCAAUUGGAGUCAACGCCGGAAAUCUUACCGGGAGCGACAGCAGAGUGAAGGUCAAGCUGAAGACUUUACCAGACAAGCUGAGAGGUGGUGCAUGGCC
rnacentral:rRNA from 1 species